GAUUGAUAAGCUAGCUCACUGUACUUCAGCCUCCAUGAACAGUUUAUGAAACUUGAUCAUCCAGUACCUGACAUUACUUAAACUACCUCAUGUUUCGAACAUUCCAUUAGCUUUCUGCCAAGCCUUGUGAAGGAUACAGUGCAAGACCUACUUCCCAGUGAAUGAGAGGUUAAAAUUUGACCUGUUUUCACCUCCUUCUGCACAAAGUAAGGGGUAUAAGAAUGGCAUGGAAAAGUAUACGGGGAGAGUGCUUUUGGGAAGAUUGAACAAAUGACCCAUGGUGCUGAGACUUUCUGGGCCUGUCACGAUCACAACUCCUGCUGCCUACUUUAUAUGGGGAUACAUAUGGGAUGGGGAGCCUGGCAAUGAGUGCUGCUCAAGGAAGAGAGGUGACAAGGAGAGGAAAAGGAGAAGUGAUGAGAUGAUGGUGCUUCACAUCCCAGAGGGAGUUUCGUUUGACAGAUAAGCACCCUGAGUCAUGAGAUGAAUACGUGCCUAAACCAUGUGGAGGUUGAAGGAAAUCCUAUCAAAGUUUUCUGUUGCGGUUGAACGUGCUGACUCAAAGCACUUAGUACAUGAACUACUGGAGAGAAAAUGUGGCUGGCAAUAAGUAAUAUGGUGGGCCAGGUGGAAAUCAGAAGACAGAAAUUAUUUUUCACAUGAACGGGAAGCAAUCUUGAUAUGUGAAAAUGAAAGUUGUUUCAAUGAAGAGGCUGGAUUUGGCUUUACUCCAUGUAGUUAUUUGAAGACUGUUGAGAAAUGCAAAUCGUGAUUUAUUUUUACUGUGCUAUGUGAUGAGAAUCAAACUUUAGAGGCAGUGAGACAAGUUUUGGACUCCAUCCAUAAACUAACUAAACUAAUUAAAAAAAAAAAUCCACAUAACUGAUGUGGAUUAUUUUUAAA